UACGAAGGGGGCUAGCGUUGCUCGGAAUCACUGGGCGUAAAGCGCACGUAGGCGGAUUCCUAAGUCGGGGGUGAAAUCCUGGAGCUCAACUCCAGAACUGCCUUUGAUACUGAGGAGCUUGAGUCCGGGAGAGGUGAGUGGAACUGCGAGUGUAGAGGUGAAAUUCGUAGAUAUUCGGAAGAACACCAGUGGCGAAGGCGGCUCACUGGCCCGGUACUGACGCUGAGGUGCGAAAGCGU
rnacentral:rRNA from 1 species